UAAGAUACUUAGAGAAAUAUCUCAAAGUUGUGUCCAAAUAUCAAUCACUUUUUGGUACACUCAGACACACCACAACACUCCUAUAAAAACCACGCGCCGGAGCUUUUCUCUCCACCGCGUCGCCGCCGCAGACUAUGUCGUCAACCACCACCCCUCACGGUGGAGACUUCGACACGCCGACACUGGACAUGGAGUCAGCGGAGCUCCUCCAAACCAUAUCGGAGCACGGCGGCUACGCCUACGUGAGAAUGGCAUCGCUGGCGGCGACCGGUGACGUCCGGGCCGCGGAGGCGGCGCUGGAGAUGGCGUGGGAGCAGCUGCACUCAGGUCCGUGGCAGUCGGUGCUUCCGGUGUGGCGCGACGCGUACUCGAUGGCAUGCCUCCACGUGGCAAGGCACCACAACGGUAACGGCGAGUUCAAGGAGGCGCUUAGGGUUCUUGACAUGGGGAUCAUCAUGGGAGGGACGCUUCUCAGAAAGGAUUUGGACUCUGCGAUCGAGAAGGUUUCAGAGAGAGCCAAGAGUUCCCGUAGGGUUUCUGAGGGAAGCUUCCAAGAAGGUUCGGUCAACAACUCCGAGCAACGAAGCCUUGUUCAUCCGCAAUUUCAUGUGUCUCAGGUGCUCCAACUUUUACCUAUCAAGUCCCUUUCUUCUAAGAUUGUGGAGAAGAGAUCUGGUUUGUCGCUGGACAAGUUCUUGAAAGAUCAUUACCUGGCUGGUUCACCGGUUAUCAUCAGUGAUUGUAUGGUUCACUGGCCGGCCAAGACGAAAUGGAACAACAUAGACUAUUUACUGAGAGUUGCUGGUGAUCGUACAGUUCCCGUCGAGGUUGGCAAGAACUAUUUAUGUACAGACUGGAAGCAAGAGCUAAUCACAUUUUCAGAGUUGCUUCAGCGUAUAAAAUCCAAUGGUGGUUCUCCAGGGGGUCCUACAUAUCUUGCCCAGCAUCCAUUAUUUGAUCAAAUAAAUGAGCUUCGGAAAGAUAUCUUUAUUCCUGACUAUUGUUUUGCCGGGGGAGGGGAGCUAAGAUCUCUCAAUGCUUGGUUUGGUCCAGCUGGAACAGUAACGCCAUUACACCAUGAUCCACAUCAUAACAUACUAGCUCAGGUUGUUGGAAAGAAGUACGUUAGGCUUUACUCAGCAUCUUUGUCUGAGGAACUUUAUCCCUACUCGGAGACAAUGCGUACCAAUUCCAGCCAGGUAUUUUGUUUGUUGAACUAUAUGACUGAUUGACCUUCCAUGCAGUCUGCUUAUGACUUUUGCUUGGAAGCAUAGCACUAUGACUGCAUCCCAAUCUGAAUGGCUGAAAACUCUAGAAGUAUUUCAUUAAUGUUGACUUAGAUGACAUAGAUGAAAGGAAGUUUCCUAAAGUGCAAGACUUGGAAUUUGUAGACUGUAUUUUAGAGGAAGGUGAUAUGUUAUAUAUCCCACCAAAGUGGUGGCACUAUGUGCGGUCCCUAACUACAAGUUUCUCAGUUAGCUUCUGGUGGAGUGAGGGUGAAUGUUCAGAUGCACCCUAAUUUGGCCUCACUUUGAUGUUCUAGAAUUUCAUUCUUUCUUAGUGUAAGAACUGAGCUUGUUCCUCAUGCAUAGACAUUUUUUGGCACUUGGUUCUGGUUCUCAUCUUAAUGAUGAGAAAUAUUUGAACAAUUGACUUUGCAUCAAAUGCUGGGUUGAGUCACCAUUGAAAGAUGCAAAGUGAAUAUGCCUAUGAUUGCACCAAUGAUAUAGUAUUAAAGGACAAACGUGUAAUAGAGGUCCCCAAUUGGGUGUUAUGCACUCUAAUGCCCUUAAAUUAUUGAUCAUGAAAGUGUGUGAAACGCUGUACCAAACCUAAACUAAUCUAAUAUUUUAUUGAUUGACGUUAA